rnacentral:lncRNA from 1 species
UCUUUUCCAGGACAGCAAAAUCCAUGUGCCAUUUACUCAUCAUUGGUUUAGUCUCUUCAAUUAGAUAUCUAGGUAACAAAAUUAUCUCAAUAUUUGCCUUCUUACAUAACAAGCCAAAUAAUUUUCAGCAAAUAUGAACUUCUCCCUAUUUGCUAGGAAUGAAACAUUGGUGUAACUCGUCGAGAAAAUGCUGUACCUAAUUUUACUAGAAACUGUUGUAACUAUGGUUCGCAUACCGGCCCGUACGGAGCAUACCAUACCUACUAGUUCAGUACUAGUACUCCGUAUGAGUAACAUACCGAGUGUCGGUACGCCAAAAAAAGUCCGUACCAUACCAUACCAACAUAGUGCUAGUGUAGCACCAGUACAGGAUUCGGUACCGAGAUGGCAAACCUUGGCUGUAACUCAACAUCAGAACUCCUAACAUGCCUCGGCUUUAUUGGCGUUUCUGAUGAUGCAAAUAAGAAUAGUUAGAAUUAUAUCUGAGGCUGCAAAUGGACUUUUCCAUUCCCAAAAUCAUGAUGCCCCUCUUAUUGAUUUAAAUUUUGAAAUUCAAAUUGAUAUUCCUUGUGUACUU